GAUGAACGCUGGCGGCGUGCCUAACACAUGCAAGUCGAGCGAUCUUCUUCGGAAGAGAGCGGCGGACGGGUGAGUAACGCGUGGGUAACCUGCCUCAUACACAUGGAUAACAUACCGAAAGGUAUGCUAAUACAAGAUGAUAUAAGAGAUUCGCAUGGAUUUCUUAUCAAAGCUCCGGCGGUAUGAAAGGGACCCGCGGCUGAUUAGCUAGUUGGUAAGGUAACGGCUUACCAAGGCGACGAUCAGUAGCCGACCGAGGAGGGUGAUCGGCCACAUUGGAACUGAGACCCGGUCCAAACUCCUACGGGAGGCAGCAGUGGGGAAUAUUGCACAAUGGGCGAAAGCCUGAUGCAGCAACGCCGCGUGAGCGAUGAAGGCCUUCGGGUCGUAAAGCUCUGUCCUCAAGGAAGAUAAUGACGGUACUUGAGGAGGAAGCCCCGGCUAACUACGUGCCAGCAGCCGCCGUAAAAC
rnacentral:rRNA from 1 species